rnacentral:lncRNA from 1 species
CAUUUGUGUGAAUUAAAAUCUAUAAAAACAUGGCCUCUAAAUACUCACAAGUAUUACUUCUACUUGGAAUGAUGGUUCUUACUACUGUAGUGAGUGAUGGGCAUAAUAGUUUUGGGUAUGCGCCAAUGUUAGAUCCAGAGGAGGAUUGGCCAGACCAAUUCUUUCCACCACUUACCAUAAUUGAGGGUCGAAAGUCGCAUAGUUUUGGAUAUCCACCUAUAUUAGAUCCAGAAGAAGAUUGACCUAAUAACUAAUGAGAAAUCAUUUGUUUAUAAGCCAGUCCACAUUUCAAAGCUGUUGUAAGUACAAUUCUUUAUCAAAUGAAGUGUUUUUUUCUUCCCACUUUUGUAUAAAACUCUAAUUUUUAAGAAGUGAUGUACUAUUUGAAUAAAGGCUCUAUAAAUAUUUCUAUGUAUAUUAUAUCUCAUUUCAGCAACAAUAAUGCCUAUUACUAGUGGUUUUACCUAUGAUUAAUAUUUUGUUAUUGUCUACAAUUUAAUUAUUCAUUAUGUUAUAAAUAAUCAAUAAUUUUUUUUUUGACAAAAAAUAAUCAAUAAUAUUUGAACAUUCAUUAUUUCAAUACACUCAUUCAACAAAAUAUUUUCUUUUUGUCUAUAUUUUACAAUCACAUCAUCGAUAUAUCACCAAAAUAUUAUAUUUAUCUUAUCACAAUAUUUUUUUUUUCAAGAUAUCCUAGUAAGAACGGAUAUCCAAAAACAUUUUUUUAUAUUAAAAACCCAAAGAAAAAGAUCAAUUAGAUAACAUCUGUACGUCACAUGUUCUAGAACUAUAAACAUAAAAAUAUUCAAAUUAGUUAUGUGUAUCUAGAACAAAAGAUCCAUCUCCUUUCCUUAGACCAUCGAUAAGGUAAUCCUACCGUGGAGUAGAAAAUUUGAGGUUAAGUUGUAAUAUCCUGAUUUUUAAUAUUAAUAUGUUAAUAUAAUUAUUGGAUAAUAUUAGUAUUAUUGUCAAUUAUUAGUAUUGAUUGCUCGAUAUUAUGAAAUUAAAUUAUUCGUGAUUAUAGGUGUUAUGAAUAAUGAGGAAGUAGAGGAGUUAACUAGUUUGGUUAAAGAAUGAGAGAAAAUAAUUUUUUGGGAAGAAUAUAGUGUUUUUGGUAAGAAUAAGGAAGUAGAAUGCAAACAGAGGUGCAUUAGUAAAACUGGAUAGAAAAGAGGUGGAAGUUGCAAAGUGAUGGACAAAAUUGGCAAGUACACCAAAUUGUAAUAAGUAGUAAGUUGUAUCGUUCUUCACAAAGAUUGUCGUUCAACUCAAUAUAUAAUUUGCAAAACUUAUUUUAACACGGAAAAUAGUAAUGAUGGUUAGAAUUGCAGGGUUUAAUUGCCCGACCCAAUGCAAGAUUAGGUUUGUGUGAUUCAGAUGUGUAAUGUGAUUAGGGAAUCCGUGAAUCCCAUCUUCCUUCUUUGUUGGAUCAAUUCAAAGUCCUUAUUAAUUAAGACCUAAAAACUACAUAAACAAAGAACAAAGUACUCCCAUGAACAAUUAUGAAUAAAUAAGAAAUAAGUACUCCCAUGAACGAAUAAUUCCAGGUUGUCAAUCAUACUAAUCUUCUAUGAAUCAAUUUUCAAGAUUACCUAUACAGAUUUUCAAUUGAAAAAUAAUUACGAACAGACAAGUACAAAUUAAAUCGGACACCAGAAUAUAACUGAAUGAAAACUUUAUUAGUUGAAUCUAACAAAUAAGAAGGGGUUCAUAGUGGAACCCUAAUCAAGAGGUUUAUUUGCUCAUGGAAACAUACAUCAUAACAACAUAAAAUAAAAACAUACCCUAGGAAGAAUACAAGGAGGAGAAAUUCCUCCUUGAAUCUAUGAUGCUUGACCCUUGCUCUAAACCGCCAAUGUUUCUGAAUGAAUAAAAUAGUGUACAAGGGUCUCUAUUUAUAACGUAAGGUUGCUUAGGAUUUAAGUCGAGAAAGCUAUGAUUUUCUACCGAUCCAUGUAUGCUUGGGUUCUCUGGGUUUAUUUCUGAAGGAAUUUCCCUUCUUUAGUCCCAUGCACUUUGGGUUUUGUUGCUCAGAUUUAUUCAAGACCUUUGGAUUGGAGGAUAAUCUUGAAUACUCUUUGAACUAAAAUUUGAGUCCCGGUUGGCCAUGAAUCUAAAAGUCCUUUGUUUUGACUUAGUUAACACCUUGGAUCUUGACUUUCUUGUCUCUGAUGGGUUUUGAUUCUCUGCUUUUUCAGCAUUUGGAUUUGAGUAAAAGAGCAGACCCUUUUGAGUGCAAACAAAACAGGAUAAUUGAUUUGUCUUCACAAGAGUAUGUGUAUCCUUAACAGACGCACUUGUGAAGUCAAUUUCUCUCCCUUUUUUCUUACUAAUAUUGUGAGAUAUGGAAGCUAAUCUACUUCUAUCAAAAUCAUAAUCACUAGAUACUUCAGAUGAACUGUUGAAUUUAGUUGAAAGUAUGUCGAUUUCAUCUGGGUUAAAAGUUGCCUUAGCAUGAGAUUUUGUCUUGACAGAUAGUGAUUUUGGCGUCUCAAAGGUUUAACUCUUCUGAUAAAAAAUUAAAUUGUUUUUGCAAGUCCUUUAAGGAUCUUGAUUUGUUCAGAUAGAGUCUUAGAAGCCUUUUGACAUAAGGAAUAUACUCAUUACAGAUUUGUUCAUAGAUUACCUCAUCAUCCUCAUCUGAAUAUGAGCUUGGUUCUUCACCAGAAGAUGUUGUAACUACUAAACCCAUAUUAGCUUCCUCUUUGUUGUCCUUAGAGUCUGUAUCUUCAUCAAGCAUCUUCCAGGUUUCCAUGAAGAUUUCCUUGAGCUUUCACUUGUAGGUUUCCGUUUUGAGGUUUCCCUAUGCUGAUUAGCCCUAAUGUGCGUCAGGGAAAUCAGCUAUGAAGUGACCAUUCUUUCCACAGUUGAAGCAUCCUUUUUUAUUAUCUCUUUUGUCUGUGAAGCGGGAUGUCUUUAAGUCACUACUUCUGCUAGGAAAUCUUCUUUUCAUAGUCAAGUAAGUCAUCUCUUAAAAAUCUUCAUUAUCAUCAGAUUCAUCAUUUGAAUCCUUCUAUUCUGAUUUAGUAGUUUGAGGAGAUUUGGUGGUCUUUUCCUUAGAGGUAAAGGAAACAGACUUAGAGAGAUUGUUUGGUUCGUCACCUUCAAGUUCCAUCUCAUGGCUUUAGAGAGAAAAUAUCGGGUUCUCCAAGUCUUUUGCCUCUUGUAUGGUAGUGACUUUUGGCCUUAACCUUGCAAGAAGACUCGUAAGAAUCUUAUUUACAUGGUUUGGUGCAACAUAUCUUUUUUUUGGACCUUGAAGUCCAAAGAAAAGAGUUUGAAACCUUGAAUACAUGGUUUCAAUAUCUUGAUCCUCUUUCAUCUUGAAAAGCUCAAACUGGUAAACCAGCUGGUUUGCCAUAGCUUCCUUUACCUGCUGAUUUCCUUCGUAGGUAGAGUACAAUGAUUCAAAGAUGGACUUUCCAGUAGAUCUAUCCCCAAUCUUCGUGUAUUCAGUAUGAGGUAAAACUUCCACCAGAAUCCCUCUCACUCUAUGGUGCUUUUUAUAGAUCUUCUUUUGAGUGGCAGUCGACUUCUUCCUGUCUGUUAACAUUCCUUCUUCUUUAGCCUCAAAGCCAAGUCAAUCUUCAAUAACAUUCCAGAGUUCAUCAUUAAUCCCUAUGAUCUACCUAUAGAUUUUCCUCUUCCACCAAGACAACUGAGAGCAUCUCCAUUAAAAAAUGAAGGAUUAGCAGAAUAACUGUUCUUCUUAAUGGUGGAGAUGUUGUUGAUAUCAAGCUUGAAAGUUUCACUGAUCGAAGUCACGUCUUUCUCACUAGUUCUUUUUAUGUGGCACGGUUAGGUGACAGAGCACAUAACAGGCUCUAAUACAAACUAAAGGUGAGAAACACACAUAGGAAGGGGGGGUUGAAUUGUGGCCUUUUUGACGGUUUCUUUUUCUAAGCGUUUAAUACAGUCUUGGACAGAAUCUGAUGUUGCAGAUUCUGACUCAGAGUCUGCUUGUAGCAGAAAUACAGAACACACAGAUAAAAGAUAAAUAGUCCGAGAGAGAUAAGACAAACACAAGGCAAUUUAUAUUGGUUCCUCCCACAAAACAAGAGUAGUCUAGUUCCCUUGCACUUCUUAGGGAUUUCACUAUAAUCACUUAGAUUACAACUUGCUCAAGGAUACACCAAGAGACUUCUCAAUGCUCAAGCACACAGCAAGAGACUUCUAUGCUCUAGGACUCUAUCUAAAGACUACUUUUCUCAAGCACACUUGCAAGAGACUUCCCAAUGCUUAAGCACAACUGCUUAAGACUUUACCACUCUCAAUCACAACUAACUGACACUUUCUAGGUGCUCAAGGUUUCACUAGGAGACUUAUAUGCUCAAGCACGUAAGCAAAAGACUUUCUCAAAUAUUUGCCCCAACUACAAACAAUUUAACUUAUUCUUACACUUUUUCUAACUAGUAAGUCUAAACUGAACAAUAGUAGUGAUUUGAGAGACGUUGGAGAGGAGUGCCAACACAAAUAGAGUCAUUGACAAGCUUUGAUCAUGAACGUUGGCCUUUUGCCUGAUAUGAAUAAUCCCAAUGAAAAGUCCUUUGAAUUUCCUUUGCUAUUCGUUGUUAUCUUCGUUCCUAGUGUCCUUUGUCUGGUUGAACACGUUUAUGGAAGAAGACAAAAGAACUGCUAUAUCAGAUGCUAUGAUAGAGAUAACUCACAAAAUAAUAAAAUAGCUUAUGUGGAUUAUGGGUCCCUUAGAUCCAAGUAGCCAGUCAAAUUUUGUGUUUGAUGUCCUUCACAUGAUCUAUGGAGAUCACCCACUAGCUUAUGUGAGACUUCCUUCUUCUAAGGACGUGUACUUCUGGUUGAACUUCCAGUAGAUCUUCCACCAUAGUCUUAUAAGCUUCUCAAUCCCUUUAUGAUGCUAUUCAUAUGUUCCUUCUUCAAGGUAAGUAGAUCCUGCACACUUGAACAUAUGUUAGUAUUCCAAUUGUUCUUCAAUACUUUGUUAUCAUCAAAACCCAAGAGAAUUUAUUUGAACCAUUCUUGGUCUAACAAAGGAUUGCGUUAUUUCUGCUUGACUACUACGUUUGUGAUUAGCUUAUGUUAGGGGGGUUGCAGUUGUCAAUUAGUGUUUUUGAAGUGACAUAAAAGAGAGAGAUUAAAAGGCGACUAUGUCAAAUGAUAUUACCUUCUCUAAAAUUGUAUAGUAACUACAAGUUAUGAAUACAUUUUGGAUUGAUUCCUCGGUUUUAAUACAUUGAUGAAAGUAGUUAGGCAAUGUCUUGGUCAAUAACAAUCUUCAAUAGUUAUGACUUCCUAAUGUCUUAGGUUAGUCCAUAACCAUAGCAUGUUUAAUAACAUCAAAUUAAGUACACAAAUCUUUAUUACAAAAUAUAUAAAUUUAAUAACAACUGAACUAUUAAAUAUGUAUAAAAUGGUAGAAAUGUCAUUUCUGCGUGCACAAAAAUAAUCCCAAGAAAUGCAUAGUACCCUUUAGUGACCUUAUUUGGACAUUUUUAUUACUAAAGUAUAAAAUAUGAUAAAUAAUUUAAGUUGACGUGCUCAACACAAUAUUCUCAUAUUUGUUUUUUUUCUUAUAAAUAGAUGUCUCACUCUUUCCAUUUGUGUGAAUCAAAUUCCAUAAUAACAUGGCCUCUAAAUACUCACUAGUAUUACUUCUACUUGGAAUGAUGGUACUUACCACAGUAGUGAGUGAUAGGAGGCCAGACCUUUUCUUUGGGUAUGUGCCUGUAUUAGAUCUAGAAGAGGAUUGGCCAGACCUUUUCUUUCCACCAUCUACCAUUAUAGUGGGUGGAAAGCCAAAUAGUUUUAGAUAUCCGCCUAUAUUAGAUCCAGAAGAAGAUUAACCUAAUAACUAAUGAGAAAUAAUUUGUUUAUGAGCCUGUCCACAUUUCAAAGCUAUUAUAAGUACAAUUCUUUAUCAUAUGAAGUGUUUUUUUCUUCCCAUUUUUGUAUAAAACUCUAAUUUUUAAGAAGUGCUGUACUAUUUGAUAUUAUAAAACUCGAAUAAAGGCUCUAUAAAUAUGUCUAUGUAUAUUACAUCUCAUUUCAGCAAUAACAGUGCCUAUUACCACUGGUUUUACCUAUGAUUAAUAUUUUGUUAUUGUCUACAAUUUAAUUAUUCAUGAUAUGACAAAUAAUCGAUGAUAUUUGAUCAUUCGUCAUUACAAUAUACUUAUUCAACAUAAUAUUAUCUUUUUAGGAUUAAUAGUGUUUUUCUUCCGUAAUAUAAGUUAUUUUUGGUUUUUCCCCUGUAGUUUUUUUUUAUUUUAAUUUCAACCUUGUAAUUUGUAGAUUUUUUGUUGUAAUUUGAGCAAAUUUAGGUUUACCCCCUUGUAAUUUGAGCAAAUUUCGGUUUACCCUCUGUCAUAUCUUCAAUUUUGUACAGUCAAAAUUCAUGAAAGUCCAAAACCAAAAAUCUUCAAAUUACAAGGACAAAAUCCAAAAAAAAUAAUUUUAGAAGGGAUAAAACAUGAAAUGACCUAUAUUAUAAGGGGUAAAAUACUAUUAUAUUCACAAAGAUAUUAUAUUUAUAUUUUACAAUCACGUCAUUGAUAUAUCACAAAAAUAUUAUAUUAAUCUUAU